UUCUUGUCCUCUGGUGGGCUUCCCCGUGCUCCAGGAUACUCCCAGUCCAGGUCAAGUCCAUCAAAGCCAUGCAGCCUCAAGAAUCUGAUGCAAGACUGGAUGAAUGUUUGGCGACUGGCAGGAGUUGAAGCCAUGAUGACUCACUGUGCAGUGCCAAAGUUCCAGCCACCAACAGCCAACAGAGUCUUCAGCUGGGGGUUUCUGUGAUGGAUAUGUAGAAAAACAGAGUUUUCUUCGGACCAAGAACUGCGUGUAACGUCACUGGCUGCCUGCUUUGAUCUAUCAAAGCCUUCUUCGAGGUGGGCGUGGCUUAUGGCAUGCGAGGCCAUAAAUAACCC